UACGUAGGGUGCGAGCGUUGUCCGGAAUUAUUGGGCGUAAAGAGCUCGUAGGCGGUCUGUCGCGUCGGUCGUGAAAACUUGGGGCUUAACCCUGGGCUUGCGGUCGAUACGGGCAUGACUGGAGUUCGGUAGGGGAGACUGGAAUUCCUGGUGUAGCGGUGAAAUGCGCAGAUAUCAGGAGGAACACCGGUGGCGAAGGCGGGUCUCUGGGCCGAUACUGACGCUGAGGAGCGAAAGCGUGGGGAGCGAACAGG
rnacentral:rRNA from 1 species